rnacentral:piRNA from 1 species
UAGCGAUUAGGUUCGUCGAGACAUUGC